GAGUUUGAUCCUGGCUCAGGAUGAACGCUGGCGGCGUGCCUAACACAUGCAAGUCGAGCGAAGCGCUUUACUUGAAUUCUUCGGAAGGAAAGUAUUGUGACUGAGCGGCGGACGGGUGAGUAACGCGUGGGUAACCUGCCUCAUACAGGGGGAUAACAGUUAGAAAUGACUGCUAAUACCGCAUAAGACCACAGCACCGCAUGGUGCGGGGGUAAAAACUCCGGUGGUAUGAGAUGGACCCGCGUCUGAUUAGCUAGUUGGUAAGGUAAGGGCUUACCAAGGCGACGAUCAGUAGCCGACCUGAGAGGGUGACCGGCCACAUUGGGACUGAGACACGGCCCAAACUCCUACGGGAGGCAGCAGUGGGGAAUAUUGCACAAUGGGGGAAACCCUGAUGCAGCGACGCCGCGUGAGUGAUGAAGUAUUUCGGUAUGUAAAGCUCUAUCAGCAGGGAAGAAAAUGACGGUACCUGACUAAGAAGCACCGGCUAAAUACGUGCCAGCAGCCGCG
rnacentral:rRNA from 1 species